rnacentral:lncRNA from 1 species
AGUAACAAACUGCAAACUAAGAAGAAUAUUACCGGUUACUGGUUAAUAGACUCUUAGAGGACCAAGGGCAUCUAUCUAGGUAAGAUCUAGAAAUAAAAGGUCAAUCAAGACUCAACCCAAUGAGGAUAUAACUCAAGGGGAGUGGUUUCAUCUAGAUAAUCAACUAGGGGAGGAAACUGAAAUAAUCAUCCACGAGGAAAUAAAUCAGUGGGGAAUAGGAGAAAGGUUAAAGUCUUUCUGCUUAAGGGGCUGACACUCUACAAU